AGACUGCCUACCACGGCUGACGAGCUCCACCUGCCCGGGUUUAUUGUUCGGAGUUUGCUCUCCUAGGCAGACUGCCUACCACGGCUGACGAGCUCCACCUGCCCGGGUUUUAUGUAUGGAGUUUGCUCUCCUAGGUGUAUUACCUAUGACGGCUCACGAGCCCAACCUGCCCGGGUUUCAUGAUCGGAGUUUGCUCUCCUAGGUGUAUUACCUAUGACGGCUCACGAGCCCAACCUGCCCGGGUUUAUUGUUCGGAGUUUGCUCUCCUAGGUGAAUUGCCUACCACGGCUAACGAACCCCACCUGCCCGGGUUUGUUGUUCGGAGUUUGCUCUCC